rnacentral:rRNA from 1 species
CAAACCAAAGCUGGCGACCGGCGCACGGGUGAGUAACACGUAUCCAACCUGCCUCAUACGUCGGGGAUAGCCUUUCGAAAGAAAGAUUAAUAUCCGAUAGCAUAUAUUUCCCGCAUGGGUUUUAUAUUAAAGAAAUUCGGUAUGAGAUGGGGAUGCGUUCCAUUAGUUUGUUGGGGGGUAACGGCCCACCAAGACUACGAUGGAUAGGGGUUCUGAGAGGAAGGUCCCCCACAUUGGAACUGAGGCACGGUCCAA